GAUCUGUUUCGCAUUUGGGGUGCCCCGCCCGUGAGUCCACGGAAAGGGUGAAACGGGAAACAGGUGCAAACCCUGUGCUGCCCCCGCAACGGUAAGUUUUGAAGGCUUCACCCCCAUGUCACUGGUCCUGUUGGUUAACGCCGCAGAACCGGGAAGACGGUGAAGUUAGGAAACGAGCCCGGAGACCGGCCCCUCGCAUCAAGUCGCC
rnacentral:ncRNA from 2 species